GAACUAGCUUUAACUAUUUUACAGAAAACAAGGGUUGCCAGUUGAUAGAAUGCAAAAACGGCGGAUUUUGUGACGGUCAUAUUCCUAAAAAUCCUGUCUGCUUUUGUAAGAAAGGCUAUUUUGGAGAAAAAUGUGAUGGAGCAGGAGGAACAUCACCAGUGGCCAGUACGCAUUCACAAAGUUUCACUGGAGAUCUGGGUAUUCCGUCAGAAAUUAAUUGUAAUGUUGGUCAGACCUGUGUCAUUCCGUUUGAGGUAGUAACAGCCGUUGGACAAC